CCCUCACUCUAAUAUAAGUCCCUUGCUUUUCUUGUCCACAAAAAUUGCAUAUCCAUUUACAAUUACCCCCUCCUUCUCCAGUUUUCUCUAGUUUAGUUACAUAUCUCCACAGAGGAUUAAAUUCUUCCUCCCUAGUUUUUGAAGAAGUGCCACUAGUGCUAUUUGCUUGGGGAGAAUUUGAGUUUGAAGAAUCCAUUCAAAUAUUGUCCUGGGAGAAUCGGCUGGUGCUGCUGCUUUUUUUUUUUUUUUUUUUUGGUU
rnacentral:misc_RNA from 1 species